GUCCCAAAUUUGAAGUAGAGUAGAUUAGUAGGAUGAGCCGGCCAUACUGAUCUACUCUACUUCGAAUUUGGAUG
rnacentral:pre_miRNA from 1 species